ensembl:lncRNA
GAAUGUUAGAGUUUGCGAACCACAGUUCUCACCCAGGUGGAGCUUAGCUCCCUUUACAGGAAGUUUCGUGUGAAACUUAGCUUCCUUUGGGCUGUUCCUGCCUGAGAAAUAUGGUAGGAGCAGCAAGAAAUUUUCCCAGCCACUAAUGCCUAAAGUAUUUGUUCACUGAAGCUCUGCAUGUUUUAAGUGAUGGAAAGACUCAUCUAAUCCCCAUGUUGGGUGCACCUGCUUAGAUCUGAGGAAGCCCCAGCCAAAGAAACUGAGAGGAGAGACCAGAGAAAGGAGGAGGACCAGGAGCCUGUGGUGUCAGAGGCUGGGUGAAGAGCAUUUUCAGCCUAGGAGGAAGCUGACUAGGUCUUGUACUGGACAUGGAGGACACACGAUCACUUCAAAGAGACAUCACAGGCCUCCAUUUGCCCUCUUGCCUUGGCAAGUAUAAGCAACUGUCUUGGAUUGGACUCUCUGCCUUUCAUAGGACAUCUAGGGCUUUAAUUGGUGACCCCUAGAGACAUAGCACCUUAACCCAAGGAAGAGCUGCCCUAAUCAGAGCAAGGCAACUGCUGUGGCAGGCCAGCACUGCUCCAGGUGCAGGAGAAAUUGGAAUGAACUGAAAUGACAAAAACCGUGCCCCCAUGCUCUGUACACUCUACUGGGGAAAACAAGCAUUAAACAAGUGGAAUACUGAAUAGUAUCGGAAGUUUGCAAACUACGGCUACAACCACAUGGAUGAAUCUCACAAAUGCGAUGUUCAGUGAAACAAGCCGGACGUAAAGAUUUUCCUCAAAACAUGGAACGUCAUAAAAUCAGGAAAAUCUUAAGUGUCUAUGGUGUUAGAAGUCAGGACAAGAGUUACCUUUGGAGAAGAGGGAAUGAGUAGAUGUAGGGAGGGCACAAGAAGGGCUUCUGGGUUGCUGGUAGUGUGUGUGUGUGUUUACACCUCAAUGAUGGUUAUACAAAUAAAAAAUACAUAUACAUUUUGGAUAAUUCACUGAGCUGCACACCUACGAUUUGUGCGAUUUUUUGGUCUGUGUAUUUCACUUCAAUUAAAAACCAAGACUGCCGCCUUGUUCCCGUCCCGGGCCAGUUAAAUCAGAAUCCCUCAGGAGAGCGUCCAGGGUUGAGAAUACCGCGCUCUGCCUUCGCUGGUGCUGUUCGCUCUAGGAGGGAAGACCUAGGGCUGUGUGUCUGGGAGCUGACCUAGUGCCUCAGAGAGGUGGUGGGGACAGGGCUGUCUCGUGGAGAGAAGGCUGGAGGUUCCUGUGCGCAGGUGGCAGAUAGCAAAAAUGUCCCCUGAGGUCACACCUCUGAGGGUGAGGACGAGGCUCGGCACCUGGGGUAGUGACUAAAGACUACCAACAGGGACACUGGCCUCCAGGGACUGCCUGUAGUCACCCUCCCUUGAGAAGUGACUCUUGAAUUUAAUUUCAAGUUCACCAAUCGUUUGCUGCAGCCUUUAGUUAUUUUUAUUUGCCAGACAUUUUGUGAAGAUUUUCACCUCUUCAUUGGUGUUUUUGUGUUUUACUUUAGUGACUUAGUUCUUGUUGUCUUAAUUCUUUUCUGUCUUCUUUCUAAUAUAUAACCUCUCAGUCCACCAGUGAUCCAGCCACAUCCAAUGGCUGGCCCCUCACCUGCCAGGAGGUUGGGGCUUGUUUUCUAACUCUCGGCCCACACAGGGGGUUGGAGGGGACAAGCAAAUGCUAGUGCACGGCACUCUUUUUUAUUUUUUUAAAGAUUGGCACCUGUGCUAACAUCUGUUGCCAAUCUUUUUUUUUUCUUCUUCCUCUUCUCCCCAAAG